CCUCAUUUUACCCAGCUCCUAUUUAAGAUGGAGUUGCUCUGGUUCACAUGCUUCUGACAUUAGCAUGUCUAUAAAAGUUCUACUUUUUCAGCAUUCAGUGACCAGGUAAAAUGGCCCCUCUGGGAAACCUUCUCUAACUCCACUAUGCAAGUAGGCACUUCCUUUUUUGUACAUCUUUGGUUGUUUUUCUUUUAGAGACCAAUAUACCUCUACAGUUGAUGGUUUUAGGCCAAACCAAGUGUGCCAAAAGAAAGUGAAAAUACCUGUUGUUAUUUUUCUACUCACUCUAGGAUGAAAAAAUGGUCUCUGCGUUUGUUUCUGCCUCACAGAAUGGAGUCCCAAUUCAGGUCCUCUGCUCCAGGAAUUCAGUCACCAUAUGUGGAAGAAGAGAGAGAUUAUGCCUUGGCCCACUGCAUUUGAUGAUGUCCUUGCCAGUUACGGAUUGGCAAAUGGAAAGUGUCAUAUACCAGGCAACUUGAUGCAAAGCAGAAGAAAGCAUGAUCUCUUCAAUCAAGCAGCUUUGAGUCUCAUGGGAGACACAGAUACAAAAUUAUUGCACAAAGUAAUAAAUACUACUAAGCUGAACCACAUGAAAUUGCCAUUUUUGUAGGUCAAAAAGAGUCAACCGCUGGCAAUUUCUUAUAAAUUCUGUGAAUGGAGAGAGGUCGGGCAAGUGGCUUUAUACCUUCCAGUUAUAUUAGCUUUGUAAUAGAAAGUUUCUUGCAGUGGAAUAUCAAGCACUGGGAUAGUUCUAAGUGACAUGAAAUGAUACGAUGCUAGUGGGAAGAGCCUUUGAUUUUCCUGGGCUGUUAUUUUUUAGGGACAAACAACUGAGUUAAGUUGCUAAAAAUUAUAGUGAGCUUUCUUAGAGCCAGUUGAGAGUCAUUUACAGGGAGAUAAUGGAAACCAGGAGAGUGGGUGUGCUUGGAAAGGGAGAUGCCAAGAAAGAGAAGUGAAUGCUUUAUGUAGUGGGCGAGGAGAGCCAGACAGAGGAAGCCAGAAAGAGAAACAAAAUAGUACAGAUUCUGCAGAAUCAAAUGAGAAAAGAGCUCCAAGGAUGCAGUAUGCAGGAGUAUUACAGAAUGAAUAGAGAUGUGGACAAUUAACAAAGGCUAUCGGAUUUGUCCAUAGGAGGGCAUCGGUAACCUGAGGGCAUGUUUUUUGGAGUGGUCAGAGCAGAAACCCGAUUGUGAAGGAUAGGAGCAAGGCAGCGUGCACAGUGGUUUUAAUAACAGCCAUGGGUCCUGGGGUCAAACAGUCCAGGUUUACUUUCUUGUUCCACAGCUAAGAAGAUACGUGACUUUAGGCAUGUUACCAUCUCCAUGCUUCCCUAUCCUCAUGUACAAAAUGAGGAAAACGACAAUAGCCCCUUUUGUGAUUGAUCGCUCUAAUGGAUACAAUUCUUCACAAUUCCUCAUAUCCACGUCUUUUGUCAUGUAACCUUGCAGUACCCUUUCAUUCUGACUCUGAGCUCAGCUUGUUGACUUUUUUUGACCAAUAGAAUGAGGUAGAAGUGACACCAAGCCAGUUCUGACCACAAGAAGCCUUCUGUCCUUCUUUUUGCUUGCUCUCUUGCCCCUCUGCCAUCACCUGGAGAAUGUAUUCAGAUGAGCCUGCUGAAAGAAGAGAGGCAUAUUAGGGUAAAAUUGAGUCUCCCAGGUAGUCUCAGCUGGGGCCAGCCUUGAUCAGCUGACACCCAGUAUAUAAGUGAGCCAGUCACAAUCAGCAGAGUCACCCAGCUGACUCCAGAUACAUGAGCAACAAAUGUCUAUUAUUGAAUGCACUGAGACUUUGUUGUUGCUUGUCAGGCAGCAAUGCUGUGCAAACAGAUAACCAAAAUACUGGUUUGUUGCAGGAUUAAGUGAGAUAGCAUAUGUAGACUACUUUGAAUAGUGCCUAACACAUAGUAACUGCUUAAACAUGUGCAACUCAUUCUAUCAUUUUCAGAGAUAUUGAUUGUUUUUCUGGGGCCACCCAGGGACAGCUGAAAUACAAAAGUAGCCUAUAUAGGCUAAUCAUUUGGUGUUUCUGCAAACUGAUAUUUUUUCCAUCUUUCUCAUUGCUUAUUUAGUGAGGAAGGAAGAAAACUGGAUUCCUUUGAAUAAUUUUUGGAGCCAAAACUGAUUUACUUAGUAAGCCAUUUUUACUAACUGAAACAGAGCUGAUGUUCUAGAAAAUAGAAUGGCAAAUUAUCUGCCACAUUUCAGAAUUACACUUCUUCUUUAGUGUUCUUUUGUGGUUUCCAAACAAGAAAAUUUCUGGGGCAGUAUAUUAAAGAGUGUAAAACUCAGAACAUAAAACAAACCUCUCAUUUCCAGUAAAUGACACUAUACCAUGCAUUAUUCAGUUUUGGAAUUUCAGCUGAGUGGGACUUCUGACUCUUAGCUGACUGACUACAUGUUGAAUCAUAAAAAUACUUGACAAAAGUAGGAUGCACUCACCAGGAAGUUUUCCUCCUUCUUCUCUUUAUUAUUAUUCCCACAUAAAAUCAAGGUCUGGCUCUGUAGAAGCAACAUAUUUUUGUUUCAUUUUAUUGCACUGGAGGUUUAGUAUUCCUUGGAUAAAGCAAAACUCAUGGACACCAUUACAACUAGCCCAUGCCUUGCUUGGCUUUUGGGAUGUGGAGAAGCUGCAUAAUCAGGUUACCCUUUUGUAAAUGUGUCUACAAUUGCUGGCAUAAAGAAUCAGGUGGAACAAUUUGGCAUCUGAUAUAAGCAUCUUGUUUUACAGUUGGAAAAGAUCACCUGGUCUAGAAUAAAAAAUGUAAAAAGUAAGUUCUAUCAAACCAAAGGUUUAGAACCCUCUAAAUCCAGCCCCAGCUUUUUGUCCCUGCCUUUUCUUCCAUGAUUUAUUGAAGCAAAGCACAACGGGCUAUUAACUUUUCCCUGAGAAAUAAACAUCAACCACAAGAGCACACUAAAGUUCAGGAGUUUACGCCCCAGACAGGUUUGGGCUGAUUAUCCAACAAGCUUCCCUCCCUUUCAACUGUCCUCACAAUGCUGAGAGCCCUACUGACCAGGAGUCUUUUGAAUCUUAGCUGACUACUGAUUGCACGCUGAGUCCGAAAAAUGCUUGACAGAAAUAGAAUGCACUCUCUAGGAGGUUUUCCUCCUCCUCCUCUUCCUCUUCUUCUACUCCUCCUCCUCUCCUUCCUCCUACUCCACCUUCUCGCAUGAAAUCAAGGUCUGGCUCUGCAAAAUCAAUGUGUAUUUUUUCAGUUUACUGCAGUGAAGUUUUAGUAUUCCUUAGGUUAAACAAGAGCUCUGAAUACUUUUUACAAUUAACCCACUUCUUGUUUGGUUUUGGGGCCAAGCAAAUCAUUUGUACUUAUCCAAGUGUAAGGAGUAGCAUCUCAUCAGUAAGUCCCUCAUCCUAUUUCACUGGGUUCAAAUUCCAGCUCUACCAUGUACUAGCUGUGUGAUCUUGGGAAAAUUAUGCAAAUGCUUUCUCAUCAAUAAAAUGAGGAUGAUACUGCAUAAUACUUUAUGGUUUUGAGAAAAAUUCAAAUCAGUAAUUCAUGUAAUGGAGUAGUCCAGUUUCUGCUAAUAGUCAGUGCCCAUUUUUUUUAUUCAACAAAUAUUUAUACAACAGAAACUGUUGUAGGAAUUUAACAAAACAAAUAAAGAAUGACAUAGGUCUUACAUUCUAGCCAGGGAGGCAGACAAGCAACCGUAAAUCAAUAAAAUGGGUAAAUUUCAGAGUAUGUUCCACAAUGAUAAAUGAUAUGAAACAAAAGGAAAAGUAAUACAUGGUGAGAGGGAUGGGAGAGGUGAGUGAAGUGUGGGGAAAGUUACAGUACUGAAUAGAAUAGGAAAGCCUUAUUAAGGUGGGACUGGAGCAAAACUCAAGGGAGGUGAGGAAGUAAGCUGAGCAGGUAACCAGUGGAAGAACAUUUUGAGCUUGAGCCAAGCCCAAGUGUAGGGGCUCAGAGGAUUAGAAGGAGAGCCAGCAAAGAGUGGCAGAAGAUGAAGUCAAUAGGAUAAUAGUUUUCAAUCAGGUGGGACCCUGAAAGCUAGUCUAAGAGCUUUAGUUUCCACUCUGAGCGACAUGUAGAAUGAUUGAAAGGACUUUGGGCAAAGGAGUGGCAUAAUCUGACUGACAUUUUAAGGGGCUCAGCCUGGCUCUCUGUUGAAAAUAGAUUGUAGGGGAGAAAAGCAAAAAUCAAAAAGACCUGUUGCUACUGUUGUACCUUAGGUGAUGGAUGACGGCAGCUCAGGUUGGAGUCUGGGGGUAGGAGUAGGGAGAAUAAAAGAAGGAUAGCCUUGGAGAUGGUGAGAAGUGGUCAAAUUUGAGAUGUGCUUUGCAAACCUAAUUAAAUACUGUGAGAAAUUCGAUAUGGAAUGUGAAAGAAUCAAGGCAUUAAGCCUGAGCAACUGAAAAGAUAGAGUUACCGUCUACUAGAACAAGGGAGGUUGUAUACAGGAAAAAGCGACAGUUCAGUCUUGUUACUUAAGAAACUUUAGCUACUUUUCUUAUUAUCACAUUCUGCCUCAAACUGUUAUAAACAUAUGUACCUGGGGUGGCUGGCAAGAUGGCCGAAUAGGAACA